CCCAAUGACGUCUCUAGAAGGCAUCUGAAAGAGAUUAAAGAUUUAUCGGUGAUGGAUGGGGAUGCGUCUGAUUAGCUUGUUGGCGGGGUAACGGCCCACCAAGGCAACGAUCAGUAGGGGUUCUGAGAGGAAGGUCCCCCACAUUGGAACUGAGACACGGUCCAAACUCCUACGGGAGGCAGCAGUGAGGAAUAUUGGUCAAUGGACGAGAGUCUGAACCAGCCAAGUAGCGUGCAGGAAGACGGCCCUAUGGGUUGUAAACUGCUUUUAUAAGGGAAUAAAGUGAGUCUCGUGAGACUUUUUGCAUGUACCUUAUGAAUAAGGACCGGCUAAUUCCGUGCCAGCAGCCGCGGUAAUACGGAAGGUCCGGGCGUUAUCCGGAUUUAUUGGGUUUAAAGGGAGCGUAGGCCGGAGAUUAAGCGUGUUGUGAAAUGUAGACGCUCAACGUCUGCACUGCAGCGCGAACUGGUUUCCUUGAGUACGCACAAAGUGGGCGGAAUUCGUGGUGUAGCGGUGAAAUGCUUAGAUAUCACGAAGAACUCCGAUUGCGAAGGCAGCUCACUGGAGCGCAACUGACGCUGAAGCUCGAAAGUGCGGGUAUCGAACAGGAUUAGAUACCCUGGUAGUCCGCACGGU
rnacentral:rRNA from 1 species